CCGCCCCCAUGCACUGCAAUUCCCAGCAUGCUUUUCGAACAAAUCUGAAGGCGGAGCCUAUUGUCACCCUAGCAGCGGAUCCACAUCUCGGGUUGGCUGCCUUUAGUGUGGCUUGGAAUGCGGUAUUCGGUUCAGCCACUCCUGAUGCUGAGCCUAGUCUCGUAUACCGAACACUACAGGAACUGGUUGUGUUCUAGAGAUCUUCCUGCCCCCCACUUCUCAAGUGCUGGGAUUAUAGGUUUGUGCCACCCGUCCCGCUUUAGCUCACUACAGUUCUUUAAGAUAAUGUCUUAAUCCCCGUCUCAGAAAUGAAUCAGAAAUUCAGAAAGGCUGAUCAAUCUUGUUAUCUGACUCCCCACUUCAUCGCUGGAAGAAGGAAUUGGGAGUUGAGAGAGAAGGCUCAGUCCUCAACUAAAGAAAACUUAUCUCUCUUUCCUUGGUGUGGAUGGCCUUCUUAGAGUGGUGAUGGGAAAUUUUAGAUUCCGAGCCUCUUAGACUGAAGCGGCUCUGGUCUUCAAUCUCCCUGUUACCUAGAGAGAAAAUUGUGUCUAGAGAUUAUGUCAAUGCUAGCGAGGCAGAGCAAAGAUGGAGUUACUAAGUACUUAAGCUCUACUAUGAGAUGUUCUUCCAUUAGGAAAAGCAAAACCAAAAACCUGGGAUUCUUUAAACAACAACAACAAAACAAAACAAAAAAACAAAACCACAAAGCAUUCAAUGGCCCCAGUUUCCAGAAUGAAUACAUUAUAUUUCAUAAUUUGGUAUUUUUAGGUUAAAGAACUUGGACUUCAGAAGAGCCAAAAUCUCCUGUUCUCAUCCCCUUUGGUUAUCUCGCUUCCCACAGACCACCAGGGUCACUAGGAAAUGGAGCUCGCUAAUUUAGGUGUGUACAGUUAAACUGUUACUGUGUAACAUAACAUAUCAAGUGGCUUUUGGGAAUCUGUGAAUGGAAUUGUAUUUUGUCAAUUGAUCUACAGCCUGGUUUUCACACCCCCUCACACCCUUCGGAUCUGUCUCUCUUGGUAGGCAUUGCUGCACGGGGUUUGUUUUAACGCUGUGGUACUACAUAUUGUGUGAAAUUCCUCUGGUGGUGACUGUUUCCCCAGUAUCACAGUUAUAAGCCCUGCACAUAGAUACAAUCUUCACAUUUUUCCCAGGGUCUCUCUGAUUGUCAUAUUUGUAUGGGCAGGCCUUGCCAAAUGAUGCCCUCCCCCCAAGCAAACUUUUGCUAACAGUUAGAGUUAGAAGAAGAAAGAAUUGGAUCAUUGGCAGUCCGUGAAUAAAUGGGAAGCUAAGUCCUUCAUUACAUCCUGACAACAGUUGUUCAAGAUGAUCUAGUCCAGAAGUAUUAGGUUUUUCUUAGCCUUUAGAAUCCACCUGAACUUUGGGACAUUUGAGUUUUCAGCCAAUGACAUAAUUUAGGAACACGGGGGGAAAAUGCCCUUCUGAAUGUAUGUAAGAGAAACCACCAGCUUGCCAUCCAACUCUGAGAAGGUAGAAGCAAGGGGAGGCUAGGCCUCAUGAAACUCUGUCUCCAAGUAAAUAAAUGCCUUACAUUACAAGUACUCAUAUUUUGAAUGCCUAUUCUGAGCCCCUCCAACGACAUAAAGACUUACUAUAAGAUCCAUGGUCUCAGAUGUUCUAUUACUUCCCAAUCUGUCCCCACAUGGGGGACCUUUUAACAUGGGCCUGCGGGACAUUAAAGUUCCAACCUUACAUUUUUUCCAUCUCCAAUAUUUUAUUGAUAUAUCCCACAUAUCACUUAAUCCAGAGUGCCGAAAAUAUCCAACCACAGUUCAAUUUCCAUUAACUUCCUGGAUGGCGUGACUUUCCUUUGUUUUUACAUCUUUUUUUUUUCUUCUUUUUUUUUUAAGAUGAGGCCUCCAUAUGUGCAGGUACUGGCUUAGAACUUGCUAUGUAGGCAUGCUGGUCCCUACCUAGUAAUGACCGUCCUGCCUCUGCCUUUCAAAGUACUGGGAUAUACAAACAUAAGCUCCCAUGCCUGGCUUUGGUUUUUGAACCAAGAAUCUUUCUGUGAAGUGUUCGUGUGAUAACUGCAUCUGGAAGCUGCUCUUAUGCUCACUGUUCAGCUACAAAUGCUCUCCUAAGGCCACCAGUGUGGCGAUUGUUCUUCCUUGUCACCUUAACCGUGAUUAGAGGUGGAACCACUUGGCCUCUGGGCUUGUCUGUGAGGGCAUUUCCAGAGAAGUUAAACUGGGCGAAAACUUAAUACUGAAUGAAGACUCCUUGGGCUCCAGCCCUGGACUGAACAAAAAGGAGGAAGCACCCAGCUCUCUGCUUUUGUUUGUAGAUGCAGUGUAACUAGCUGUCUCACACUCGUGCUGCCAUGGUUUCUGCAGCAGGAGAGACUGCGUUGGUCAUCAAACUGGGAGACACAGUAACCUUUCCUUUCUUUAUUGCUCUUGUCCGAUAGUUUGUUACAGUGAAGAAAAUGUAACUAAUACAAGCAGGUGUCGCAGUUCAGAACACGCUGAUGCAUGAACAUGUGGUUUCACCCUAUCCUUAUAGUUUCCUAUUAUGGAAUGUUCACUUGGAGUUUCGCUUUUGUUUGUUUUUACUUGGAGGCCUGUCCAUCGUUAGUUGUGCCCUUCCUUUUUUCCUUCUUUCCUUCCUUCUUUUCCUUCCCUACCAGAAUGCCUAGGCCAAGAUGAGUCACUGCUCAAUCUUUCUGCAUGCCUUGAUAAAGAAAUGGCUUAGUUUUCUCUAUCUGCCCCCUCCCCAAGCCCUAAACUAGAAAUGUGGUUAGCAUGUCCAUAGAACUGAAGGAAUGGCAUCAUGGGAGUGCGGGGUGCUGAGGCAGGAAGAGGUGGAGUCAGAUGGAACUUUCCAAGAUUGGCAGGGGAUCAGGUCAGGGAGGGUUUGUAAACCAAAGUAAGACAUUUUCAACAAAAUCACUCAAGACUUUUAAAGGCCCUGCCUGUCCUGGGUUCUAUGCUUAUAAAAUGAUGCCACGAAAGAACGAAAGGAGGGAAAGCAGUUUAGGAACCGGCCACAGUAUAAGGUCAUAGUGACUUGCUUCAGGGCUGCAACCUUCAUGGGUACGUUAUCCCAAAAGCUAUGCCAGUGUUUGGCAAAACUUGGAACCUUCUCUGCUCUGAGGUGAGCUCUAAAACGGUGCUGAGAUUGGAGGAGAACUCUCCAGAGACUUCUUGAAGAGACAAGUACGUUUUGGAGAGGUCCCGGGAACUGAAAGUACCAGAGGGAGGAUCCACUGGGUGAAGCAGCCAUGAGUAACAGUUUCUUGAGAAUGUAUGUAUGGUGUCAUAGAAGGAGCAGUAGGGCCUGGGGCAGAGCAGUGACCCAGCAUGCUCAAGGUCCUGGAUUUGAGUUUUGGCACCAAAAGCGGCAAAAACAAUGAAUCAAGAGGAACUGUUUCAUUUCCACUCUAAGAUGUAGUAGGUUUUAGUGUGAGGCCAAAAAACAACACAAGAAACCCUUAUUACUUAAAAGACUUAGACAUCUAGUAUUGUCAUGUGUAUGGUCUUUGAUAAACAUACUACAUUAGGCUGUAAUUUCAUUAAGAACCUUUAGCACAUGGCGGAGAAUGACAUAAAAUGGGUUCUCAGUAAAUGUAAUGACUGAAUCAAGCUCUCCAAUUUUAUUUCUGAUAAUAAAGUAGUUAAAGCAGUGUGUCUCUUCUCUGCCACCCCUGCCCUACCCCCUCCACCACCAUACAUAUGCUCUUCUGAUGUGGCUUUGGCUGACAGGGAACUUACUCUAACUGAGCCUGGCCUCAAACGCACCAAAGUCCUCCUACCUCGACUUCCUGGGUACAAGCAUGAAACCGUGCUUAGCUCUUUUUGGUAGGAUUUGCUGUAGACCAGCCUGGCUCAAAUGUGGAAUCCUCCUGCCUUGGCCUCCCCAAAUGCUGAAAUGGCAGUUGUGCAAUAUCUUAGCUGUGCAAUGGCACAACUGGCUAGGCUGCUCCUGAAGCCAGAGCAUCUGAAGGAGUCAGCCAGGCCACAGAGCUGACCAGAUGACAUCACCAGUGCCCAGGAAGAUGCUCUUUCCUCAGCAGAGCAGGCUUUGUUAUCCCUGCCUUCCUCUAAGAGGUCUGAUGAGGAAUCUGAUCAGGCGACCUCUGGAUUGUCUGAUGACUUCUUGUUAAACAAGCAAACUAAAACCUUGUUUUAUGGGGGUUCUACAGUGCUAAUAUUCCAAUUUAGUUUUUGCAUUUCAAGUUUACACUUCUCUUUUAAAGCUAAAGUAUGGGCUGGAGAGAUAGCUCAGUGGUUAAGAGCACUGACUGCUCUUCCAGAGGUCCUGAGUUCAAAUCCCAGCAACCACAUGGUGGUUCACAACCAUUUGUAAUGAGAUCUGAUGCCCUCCUCUGGUGUGUCUGAAGACAGCUACAGUGUACUUAUAUAUAAUAAUAAGUAAAAUCUUAAAAAAAAAUAAAGCUAAAGUACUUACCAAGUUCAUGAGGUAGGUGAUUGUACUGGCUGGUUUUCUGUGUCAACGUGACACAAGCUGGAGUUAUCACAGAGAAAGGAGCCUCCCUUGAGGAAAUGCUUCUAUGAGAUCCAGCCGUAAGGCAUUUCCUCAGUGAUCAAUGCGGGGAGGGCCCAGCCCAUUGUGGUUGGUGCCAUCCCUGGGCUGGUAGUCCUGGAUUCUAUAAGAGAGCAAGCUGAGCAAGCCAGGAGAAGCAAGCCAGUAAGCAGCACCCCUCCAUGGCCUCUGCAUCAGCUCCUGACUCCAGGGUACUGCCUGGUAUGAGUUCCUGUCCUGACUUCCUUUGGUGAUGAACAGCAGUGUGGAAGUGUAAGCCGAAUAAACCCUUUCCUCCCCAACUUCUUGAUCAUGAUGUCCUGUGUAGGAAUACAAACCCUGACUAAGACAGUGACAGACACAUCUGAGGUGGUUUUGAUCUUUGGAGAAUCUUUCCCAAGCUCCUGUAGCCAGAAUAGCUUUAAAAGAAGGAUUAAGUAGAAAACAAAGCAUACCAUGGUCAGAAAUUAGCUACACCAUAUUACAGCCUUUCCUUUUCUCAACUUGGUAUCACCAUGUACUAUAAGGAUGCUAAAAGUACUUGAAAGAAUAGCUAAAAAGUAGACAGAAGAAUGCCUUUUCUAUAGCUUUGAAGAGAUACCAUGACCACAGUCUGUAAAGCCUGCUAAUCCCCAUAUGUGUAUGAUGUGUUUGUGUGAUAUAUGCUGAUAGAUAAUGGGGUGCUUUCAUCCUGACAGUUGUUCUUUAGAGAACCCUGAGUAAUAGGAAGGGCAAGGGAGGAAAGUAAGACAGGAAGUAAAAGAAUGGCCCUGUUGUCAGGUGUGAUGGCACAUGCCUUUAAUCCCAGCACUCAGAGCAGAGGCAGGUGGAUCUCUGAAUAUGAGGGUUCGAGGACAGCCUAGUCUACAAAGCGAAUCCGGGACUGCCAAGUCUCUGUUAUACAGAGAAACCCUGUCUCGAGAAAACCAACAAAAGAACGACCUCGUUUAUACCUGAUAGGAUUUAAAAUCCAAACUGCUGUCACUCUCCAAUCUGAGUUGCUUAAUUUCUGUCAUUGAGUGUCUGGUCACCUUGAUACACGCUAGCGAUCUAGAAGAGAGAAACUCAAUGGAGAAAAUCCUCCGUCACUUUGGCCUGUAGGCAAGUUAGUCUGUGGGGCAUUUUCUGGAUUAAUGAUUGAGGUGGGAGGGUCUAACCAGCCCACUGUGGAUGCUGGACAGAUGGUGGUUGGUUAAAAUCAAUCAAUCAGUCUGGGUGAGGUGAUAGAGGGCAAACCCAUAAACACGGUUUCUCCGUGGCCUCUGCUUCACUUCUUGCCUCCAGCUUCCUGCCCUGACUUCUCUCGGUGAUAGACUGACUGGGAUGUGGGGGCUAAAUCAACCCAUUUCUCCACAAGUUGCUUUUGGUCAGGGUUUUACUACAGCAGUGGAAAGCAAGCUAGCACGUUGGGGAACUAAACCUUUCUACAGAGGCAGGAGAAGGUAGAUGGCCUGCCAUGUGUCAUAAUUAGUGGUGACAACUGGAUACAUGCAGGUGUCCUGGAGGCUGAGUUGGGAGAUGGGAAAUUGAGAAUGCCCAUGUGCUCUGUGAUAAAGAGGAAAGAGAGUCAUUGGGGUUGUGGAGGGGGACAUUGGUGGAGGGUGGGGAGGUGGAGUCCGUGCUGUUGCUAAAGGCUGUAAGGAAGGCAGUAAGAAGGACAGCUGGAAUGGCAGGAAGAACUAGUUGCUUGUAGCAUUAAUGCACACCAAUCCCAGACUUGGGAGCACAGGAGGCAGAUCUCUGCAUUUGAGGACAUCCUGGUCUUACGUGGACUAUAUGUGUGUCCAGGACAGGCAAGGCUACAUAAAGGGACUCUGUCUGGAAAAACAAAAGCAAAAUGAAAAGCAGUGGUGGUUAACAUGUGAAGUCCAAGGAAGAGAACCAUGUUCAACAACUGUGUGAGGUCUGAGGGGAACAGGGGGGAAUAAGUGUCAAUUAUGUAUACACUGAACAGCAUCACAGGAGGCAGGAUCUCCACAAUGAGUGGGAAAUUAUAAACCAUCAUAUGGCCUGCCAGCCUAGAGAUAAGAAGCACACUCUUCCUGCCAUAUAAAAGUAGGUUUCCAUUUUCUUUUCUUAGACAAUAUUGCUAUAUACGUUUGGUUGUUACGUAUGUAGAACACGGUGGCCUUCAACUUGAGGUUAAUCUCCUGCCUCUGCCUCUAGUGUUCUGGGGAUUACAAGUGUGCCAGCAUGCCCAACCUGUGAUUUAGAUUCAACUGUGCAUUUGAAUCUUGGAUUUCUAGGAUUAUAUAUACUGCCUGUCUUUCACUAAAGGUUAGUUGCCUAAAGAAGGAUCUGGGUCUUACUGUCUUUAUAUUCAUCAACGCCAGUGUCCUCAGCAUAGUAAAAGCUAAGAAAGUUUAGUCAGUGUGAACCUAUUAGGGGAAAUUAACUUCCCAAGGCCCAAGUAGAAAGGCAUGGUCAAAGCCAGUGUUUCUUUAACUCCGGUUUCGAUUAGAAAGCGCGUUGCUCUUCUGAUCUCCAGGUGGCAGUGUUCUCUCAGAUUAAUUGUUUUGGACAAACAAGAGUUCACUAACUUUUUGAGAAAAUAAGCACAUUUUAAUGCAAACGUAGUUGUCCUCUAUUUCUGCAAUUGUACAGAGCCAGCUAAGAAACAAAAUAUAGUUACAUUAUUAUGUGAGACUAUUGAUUUCUUCCUCAGUUUCAAUGCAAAUGAGAAUUCUUGGUAACUCUUGGGGUUUCUGGAAACUUGAAAGCGUAUGUGACAAGCUGUUGGUUUGCUCUUCCUCAAAACGCAAUCCUUCAAAGCAAAAAAAUAUAGGAGCGGAGCUCUGUUCCCUGCUAUUGGAUCCCCUUCCCCUACCUGAACCGCCUGGUCGGGCCUCAGAGGGGAAGGAUGUUCGGGGUCCUGCCAGGACUGGAUAUCCCAGGGUGGAGUGGUACCCAAGUGGGUUUUCCCUUCUCUGAGGGUAAAGGGAGGGUAUAACGGGCAGGGAUUUAUAAGGUCAGGACUGGGAGGGAAGAGGGGCUGCAGUCAGGAUGUACCGUGAAUAAAAACAUUAUUGGAAAAAGAAUAAUUAUGGAGAGGAGGCAAUAUGUUCAGAAAUAGCUCAUCUGACAAAUGGGAUGGCCAGACUAAACACAGUGGCCAGCAAAUCUUGAACUUUGGAUAAACAGAAAUAUUGUUCUGUCUUCUCAAAUACUGCAUUCAGAACACAGGAAAAAACAAAGCACUCCUGUUAACCUGAAAUUCAAAUUUACUGGAAAGCUUGGAUUUUUUUAAAAAAACUAAAUCACCAACAGUUUGUAAUUGUUAAUCCAGAAUAAACAAAGCAUGGGUCAAUCCUGCCACUUCCUUAUUUGGAGAGGGAAUAAAAAGGAAGGCACUGGUAGGCCCAGCUUCCUUGCUGUAAAUCUGCCUUUGUUGAUCUCUGUGCUCUCCCCUGAGGGUACCGUCCAUCAGUGGAGGACUUCUCUCUGGGAAACUGGGGCCCUCUAGCAAGUGAACACGGCAGGCCCAACGCAGAUAUCUCAUAUAACAGUAUUUUAUGACCUGAGUGUCUGGCUGAAAACUCCAAAUCCUGGGGCCGAUGGAAUUAUGCAUGUCUGAAGCCCUGUUCUAUUCUAACACACACACACACACACACACACACACACACACACACACACACACAUUUGUGCACACAUGAACUCACACAUGCGUGCACACACCUGAAAACUGAAUAAACAGUUGAUUCUAGACUGCAGAAGAGCUAGAUGAACAGCAAUGACAGCCAAUGCUAAUUCCUUAUCAAAAGUUUAACAGAUUUUCUAGUAAGCUAAAUACUAGGUAUUGUUUUAUAUUUAUUUGUAUGUGUUAUAAACAUCCCCUAUGGUCCAAAUGAAUUGUACUUUAGAAUUAUGUUUGUGGGCCCAGAGAUGUAGCUUAACAGUGGCGCAGUUCCCCUGAAUGUAAUGAGUCCCUGUGCUCAAUCCCCAAACUGUAAAAUUGAAGAGAGAAGGAAGAAGCUAUCCAUAGAAACACGAUCAGUAGUGGUUAGGCCACAGGUUACUUUUAUCAGACUACUUAGUCACGUGGCUGAAGCACUAUUUGUGGUUUUAAGAUGUGCUUUAUAGGGGCUGGGGAUUUAGCUCAGUGGUAGAGCGCUUACCUAGGAAGCGCAAGGCCCUGGGUUCGGUCCCCAGCUCCGAAAAAAAAGAACCAAAAAAAAAAAAAAAAAAGAUGUGCUUUAUAAGGGAAAAGUUAUUGUAAUAGCAUUUUUAAAAGGAAGAAAUAAAAGUAAAAUUUUAAAAUUUUGAAUACUCAUGUUUGAGGAAGUAUUUCUAACUUCUCUUUAUUUUGCUUUUGUGCCAAAAGCCUCCUGAAGUGCUUCAUUUAAACAAAUCAUUUUAUGAUGACCUAAAAGAUACAUACUAAGAUCCCUCUUGACAGAUGAGAAAACAAAGGCUAAAUAGUGGCCCCAAGUCCCAUAGCUAAGAAAUUAACCUGGGCUCCUAUCCAGCCCUCAGCAGCCUUCUCUGCACAUGACAGGCCCAGGUGAGAGGAAGGAAGUGAACUGUGGGAGAAGAAUCUGAAGGGGCCACGGGAUUGCCUUCUGGAACACCAGCCAGCAUUCUUCCUAAGUCUAGAACAGUUCAAAGUGAAUGGCCCUUCUUCCUUCCUUGAGGAUGUUGUGAUUCCCACUUUGUGCAUACUCACUAGAAUGGAGCUGUUUUAGAUGUAUUCACAGAACAAGACAGGUCUGAAAGUGACGAAGCUUUACCUGAAGUGACUGGAGAAUAGUUAACAGAAGGCGGAAGAGGAUUAAAAAGUGCUUGCAUGGGGCCAAAAGGGGGUAUCCUGGGGUUAAAUAACUGGAGCUGAGGUCUGAAAAGAAAGGCAGGUGGGAGGAAGAUUUGAUGAACUGUGUUCAUGAAAAGGAAAGGGAGGGACAGGUCACAGCCUGGAUGUGAGAUAGCUCAAGAUUGCUCAGGAACCACCACUACAAUAUGGUGGACUCACCCAAGGCUACCCGAGGUGACAGACAGUCCUUUAUCUCUACACAUUCCUUUCUCUCCCCAUCCUCUUCUGGAACAAACAUCUGUAAGAUAGUGAGGGAGGAAGGGAACAGUAAGGUGUCAUGUCUAACGCAGUGCCAGCACUUGGGAGGUAAAGGCAGGAAAGUCAGGAGUUCACAGCCAGCCUCAACAAUGCACUAAGUUCAAGACCAGCCUGGGCUACAUGAAACCCUAUAUCUAGAACAAGAAAGGAAAACAAUAAAUACACAAGAACAAGAAGAGGGACUUCUCUUCAGGGGACAGAAGACCAUGCUGCUUUCUAAAUGGAGAUGGUAAGAUUUUAGAUAUGGGACUUUAGUAUAGGCCAGAGCGAGUGACCUCUUGGAUGCACUCUGGAACUGAAGGAGGAUACCCAUGUGGCCUUGCUGUGGCCAGUGAAGCCCAAACAAUGUCUGCUGGUGGCUUCCGGAAAAAAAAUUUAAAACUACUAGGCUGGUGGAGCUGGGCAAUGGUUCAGUCAGUGAAAUGCCCAUUGCUUAAGCAUGAAGAACUGAGUUGUACAGCAUGCCUAAGAAGUGGUGGGUCCCUGGGAGUCAUCAGCCUGGCUUCCACACACAGCAGCUCUUGAUAGAGGUAAGCCCUUCCAUCUAAUGGACUCUCUACUUUGAAAAGUGCAAUCCUUAGAGUCAGGUGCUCAGGGACAGAGAAGGGCUGCUUGCUGGCGCUAUGACUUCUUGGUGCCUUUUCUUCCUCAGGGUCGCUGUGACAUGGGAGAGACAUAGUCCAUGGGAGCUCAUAAUCUAACGAGAGACGGGUUUAUGGCAAACAAUUACAGUGUGGGUGCGGUCACAGAGAUGAGAAUAAAGUGCUUUGAUCACAUGAAGAAGUCAGUGCAGGGGAACGGAGGAUGACGGCACAGAAGGCAAAGCUAACCAAUCAACACGUAUCAACAGACACAUCUGUAUGUAUUUCUGUCCAAGACACAUCUGUAUGUAUUUCUGUCCAAGGGCCUGUAUUUCUGUCCAAGGGCCUAAGAAUGAAGCUCAGUUCCCAGCCCUGCAUAAACUGGGCACCAUGGAGAACCUCCAUAUUCCCGAAUAGCCUUCCCCACAAUUCCCCAAAUCCCAGCAUGGUUAGGAACUUUUAUUUAUAUUUGUUUUUAUUUUUACAGUGUUAAGGGUGGAAACUAGGCCUCUGUACAUGGUAGGCAAAUUCUGUGACACUGAGAUACCUGAUCCUCAGAUCAAGGCUGGAGAUGGGGGUGGUGUAUGUGUGUGUGUGUGUGUGUGUGUGUGUGUGUGUGUGUGUGUGUGAUAUUGACGUCCAGGAUCUUCCUCUAUUCUCCCCAUUCUUUUCUAAGAUAAGCUAAGAUCUUCAUCUCCCAGUGAUUCUGAGACUUGCUGAUUCAGUAUGACUAUCUGGUCAGCAAAUCCCAGGGAUGCCCCUGACUCCACCUCCAUAGGGAUGCACUGCUAUGCCCAACUUUUUAUGUGUGCGUUCUGGGAAGCUUGCAUAUGAAGCACUUUGCCCUGAGCGCCAUCCCCAGCCCAAGGCUAGGAUUUGUACUGAGCUCUGCCCACUGCAAGCUCUUACCUCUGCUGUUGCUGCCAAAACUAACUCACUAUUGAAGUAAUUCUGUAAUUUAAAUAAGAAUUUUCCCCAGGUACACUAUAGUAGCCCUUAUGAUUCAUCUUAACUUCUUUUUGUAAGUUGAAAAAAUAAUUGCGUGUAUGUAUGUGUGUGCGUGUAGGCAUCUGUGUGGUGUUCUGUAUGUGUGUGUGGCACAUGCAAUACAUAGUAAGUAUUCAGGCAUAUAAGCAGAACAUCCCUUGUCUCCCUCUACCUACUCCCUCCUGACUGGCUGCCUUAUUCCUUUGCCCACCUUUUUAUGUGGAUGCUGGAGAACCAAACUCAGGUUAGUGUGGUUGACACCUUUAAUCCCAGCACUCGGAAGACAGAAACAGAUCUCUGUGAGUUCUUGGCCAGUCUGGUCUACACAGUGAGUUCCAGGGCAAUCAGAGUUCUACAGUCUGACCCUGUCUCAAAGGGAAUACACAAUGAAACUGAAUAUUGGGGCUGGAGAGAUAAUAGCUCAGUGGUCAAGAAUACUUUGCUCUUGCAGGGAUCAUGUACCCACACGGUGGUUCACAACUUGACCACUGAGCUAUGUUCCCACAUGCCAAGAUGUCGUAUUUACUUUAGAAAAUAUGGAUAGCAAAAAUAAGGACAUUAGAGCUGGCCCGUUGUAGGGUAGCCAGUCCUUCCCGCUUGGGUUUGGGCCUGUUUUACCAGGCCUAAUUUUGUAAGCAUAGUUACAAAACCUCAUAGGUGAGGUUAUCAGAGGCGCUAGGGGACAUGUUGUGGUAAAUCUCCAACCCCAAUAAACCAGCGCAAAGAACACGUAAUUCAGUUAUAAUGUUUAUAAGCUGCCUGACUACAUUGGGCAGAGUCACCACUGCUCUGCUCUAUUCCCCGGCUACGAGAUCCCUUGCUACUGACAGCUCCUUCAGGCUCCAGCUCCCUCCCACCUCCUCUUCCUCCCUUCCCUCUCUUCCCUCUCUUCAUCUCCCCCUCCCUCCAUGCUCUCUCUCUCCCUGAGACUUCCGUCCCCACCUCUUCUUCACUGCCCAGUCACAGGCUCUAGCCUUUAUUUGACCAGUUAAAAUGGGGAGAAGGUUCCCUUGAAAUCACCCGAGUACUUGGUUAAAAUACAAACGGCACCACAGCAAUCCCCCAGUAGGGAGAGCCUCCUGUUGUUCAUAUUGGCUAAAUGGCCAUGUUGUCCAACUACCUUCUAAAUAUCUAUGUUUACACUCACAGGUCUGUGCUGCUCUCAGAGGUGGUCAGAGAACCACCUUCUGGAGGUGCAUUCAUAGCUAAUCAAAGGGCUAAGAAGAAGUAAUCGGGUGUGCUCAGUCAUUCAUGGACCAUCCGGGUCAACCUUCACCUGCUCUGAGGCUCAGGGAGCAUCAAACAAGUGAGGAGAUAAAAACGAAGCAAGAGGCUGGGUAGGCAGCAUUGCACCCAUGAACUUGGAGCUGUGGAACCUGUAUACAGUCAGACCAGCCAGAAUUCCAGCAUCAAUGGGGGACUGGCUCCUGAGGACCGUGGCCCUAGCUGCAGAGAUACUGGCAAUUGAAGGCUGCCUGAGCAGAGUCUCUCUUCUUUGGACAUUUGAUGCUGGUGAGCUACCCAGAUCCAAGCGAAUGAACCCACAGCCAUGUACACAUGAGCAACACAGUUGGAUUCUGUGAGUUAUUAAAAACAACAAAAAAAAAGAGGACAUGAAUUUGGCGGGGAACAUAUUAGGGUUCUCAGAGGGGAACUAGAAGAAGGUAGUAAGGGGUGGAUAUGGUCCAAAUGCACUGUAUUAUUGUAAAUAUUCUAUAUCACACAUAUAUGCGUAUAUUUAUUUUCCUAAGAGUAAAAAUCACAGCACUCAGCAGAAAGGAAAGAGAAGAGAUGGGCCUGACUCCAAAAGUGACUGUGUGAUCUGACAAGAGUCCACGCAAUAGAGAAGGGGCGUGUCCCCAUCACAGGUACAAUUGUACCUCUCUUGGCCAAUACCCUAUAUGUAUUAUGUAAUAUGAAGGUGUGUCUCCACCGGUGUGAGUUUCAGACCAGGGGAGAAAUCUACACUAGACUGAAGGAGAGUGAAGAGGAUCUUGCCAUUCCCCUCAAGUGACAAAAACAAUUGCUAGGGAUUUACUUUAGUGAGGAAAAGAAGAGGAUCAGCUUGUGUUUCCUUCAAGCGAGAAUGCCACACAUACCUUCCUGUAAGAGCUUUAGAAAUGGUUAAGUAUACGAUUGCAGGCCUUUUUCUCACAGUCAAUGCCAUCUUUUAUUUGUGACUUAGUUUGUGGGCGUGGAUGAGGGCGUACCCCAGAGAAUGUGCAUGAGACCUAGUGUGCCUGCCUCCAUACGUAGAGGUUAGAGAGCCACCACAGACGUCAGUUCUUGACUUCCAUCUUCUUUGAGCGAGGAUCCUGUUUUCUUUGGUUCUUUGCUGUUGCACCGUCCAUGCCAGGCUAGCUGGCCUGGCACCUCUUCAGGAUUCCUCCUUUCUCUGCCCUCGGUCUCACUGGGAUUACAGAUCACAUUACUAUGCCUGUCUUUAUAUGGGUUUUGAGGAUCCAGGCUCUGGGCUUCACCCUUAUGUGGCAAGUACUAAUAAAGUCCUAUGACUCGACUCAUCAGCUAUCAAGUUUUUAACUCUUUUUUAUACAUCUCCAAUAUUUUAUUUGCAUCCCUUUCUUAUAAAACCUUGACAUUAUCCCAACCCCUAUAUUGACCUAGUCCCAAAUCUUUUACAGAAUCAAAGCGAUAAACUUCAUUUUUUAAAGGAAGACACUACAAAAAAAAAUGUUUUUAGGAUUCAUACUUUUGGCUUUAUUUUCCAGUUUUAAAAAGUUAAUUUAUGGAGUAAGGACUAUAAAAAGAACAUGUUGGAGGUCUGAUGACAAUUUAGUAGAUUUCAGAAUUUGUUAAAUUUUCUGUUUUCAGUGGGACAUGCUCUCAAGGUAAUGCUAUUUAGAAUAUCUGCAUCUAAGAAUUUCCAUAUGUUCUUCACAGAUCCAACAUCCUGCCAGUUCUCUCUGCAGUUCUCCCUGGAGAGUAAGUAUGUGCAGUCUGUCCUGACAAAGACUGGGCCCCAAGUUGUAAGAAAAGGUUCACUUCCUGCCAAGUAAAAUAACCUUUCCCACAAAUUGAGCAACAUAAUAAAAAAGGAGAGAGAGAGAUUGCAGCCUAGAAGAGAACGCUAGGAAGAGAGGCUGGUUUCUGCAGUUAGAGGUGCUGUAGGGUCAAAAUUAAUGCUGUAUCUUAGACCAUCCUUUCAGUCUACAAUACUGCUCCUAAUUGUUAGUAUGAGCAAAAGGAAAUAAUCAGUACUGUUUUAAUAUCCAAAAGAGAAGGUUUACAGGGGUGAUGAUAGAAUACUGAAGCAAAUAUUUUAUAGUGAAGCUACCCAUUGUUUUUAUUUGUUGGUUGAUUUGUUAUAAAAUUUCAUUUCUGUAUGUGGGAGCUAAAAGCAUCCAAGUUGAAGUGAUAUCUUCAAGGCUUUUUUUCCCCUCCUGUUUUUAAUAAUUUUUCACUUUGUCUUAGUUUGAUUACUUGAACAUUGUUAAGUCAUUCUUAUUAAAAUACUAUUGGCACUGGGUGUAUCUUAGUUGGAGAGUGCUUACCUAAUAUCCACAAGACCUUGGGGGUUUAUACCUGCAUAAACAAGGAGCGGUGGCGAACACCUAAAAUCCCAGCACUCAGGAGGUAGAUGCAGGAGGAUCAAAGGUUCAAGGUUAUCCUCUGCCACAUUGGGAGUUCAGGACCAAUCUGGGAUAUAUGAGACUUUCUUUAAAAAAAAGAAAAAGUACAUCAAUAGUGUACAUGAGGCUCUGAGGCCCUGUUUUCAACACAGAUGCACACACACAUGUACACGCACACACUCAUUAUGACACUGAGAAAGGCAAUGGCUUCUACUGAAAAUAAAUUAUCUUCCAACAAUACAGUUUUUACUGCUGUGAAUGAAUUUUAUUUAUUGUCCAGCCAGCUAUGCUCUGGCAACCUUACCAUUAACUCCAGCAACCUAGAAUGUAGGAUUAUGUUAUGAGGAAGAGAGGGCAAAUUAACAAGAUGGGACUGAAUGAAAAGCUUAAAUAUUAUUUAAAUAGUCAAAACGUUUCCUGAGACUGUAACGGGAAGGGGAUCCAAGCCGAGUUCCAAGAGCGUCUCUUGCUCUCCUGCCUUGGAAGGAUGAGAUCUGAUGAGGAGUCUGGAUGGUUCCCUGACAAUCUGAGGCAAGUGGGUAGGAUGCUCACCGCCACUAUCUACUAGAGUUUCACUGGUUCCAUAGUUAGCUGGCAGUCAUCAGGCAUUAUUGUCUCUCAGUUACUUCAUUCAGAAAGUUAAAGCUGUUAGAAUAACAAGAGUGUUACAGCUUAAGCUUUUCUUAUACAAAGUCAGGCAUAGAGUUCCAACUAAAAUACUUCAGCAAAUGGCUUUCUCCCGGCUUCAUGAGCUGCUUGGCACACAGUGAUUUCAGCCUAGGCAAACGUCUGAUGAGCUGAGUGGGCCCGAUGGUUCAGGCCUGUCAUCCCAGAUCCUUGAGAGGGUAAGUCAGGAUGAUCACAGAGUGAGGGCUGGCCUGGGCUGUAGAGUGAGUUCAAGGUCAGCCUGAACAUCUUAGUGACACUCUGUGAAAAAUGAAGAAAAAAAAAAAAAGAUUAGAGCAAGUCAUUUACAGAAGAGAAGAAGUGGUCAGUAAACACUCAAAAAUGUCUUCACGCUCAUUAGAAAUGAGAUAAUAAAAAUUAGAACUAAGCCCAGGAAGAUGGCUGGCAGGCAAAAGUACUUACCACCAAACCAGGUGACCUGAGUACAAUCUUUGGAACCCACAUUGUGGAAGGAGACACCAUCCUCUGAAUUACCAGAAAGUAGUAAAAAAAUAAAAUAAAAUAAAGUAACUAAAGGAAAACAGCCUAUCUUACCACAGAUAACAGAAUUCUAUAAGUCUAACUACACCAGGUACCAUCAAGAUUCUGAGCAGGAGGGGUUGGGGAUUUAGCUCAGUGGUAGAGCCCUUGCCUAGCAAGCACAAGGCCCUGAGUUCGGUCCCCAGCUCCAAAAUAAAAUAAAAUUAAAUUAAAUUAAAAUAAAAUAAAAAGAUUCUGAGCAGGAGGGAAUGCAGCUAAAGAGCGUUCUGGAAAGUUAGUAACAGGAAACUAAAACUGUUCUUACCUCAUGAUCCAGGAGUUGUGAUAAAAAGGGAGCCAGGGAAUAUACACAGACAUAUCCGCUGUAACAGCAAGCGUUUGAAGUGCAUACAUACGCUUAAGUGUAAGAACGUGUAGGGUUGUGGGUCCGGUGUCCACUCUGCCACAGGGCGUGGCCGGCCGCUCAGGGAGGCGGGACACAGGAAGUUGACCGCUCUUACCCCGAAGGGAAGCCCCAGACACCAUUCGGGAGCGGGAAAGCCCAGGCUGAGGUUCCGGACAGCUGGAGCUGGUUCAGGGGUCCCCGGGCCUGGGAAGAGGCUGGGAGCAUUUGGUUCUCAGGCUCUUGGAUACCCAGGUGCCGCUGGAAGUCUCUGAAGAGCUGCGAAUGGAGUGGGAGCCCAGGGCUGGGGGAAAAGGAGGGCAGCUCUGGCUGGUUCCGCUGGGGUGGGGGUCUAAGGGAGGAUGAGUUCUUGACUUGACAGGUGGUAGCUUGAGCUUGGUGGCCAUAGUGGCUAGGAGUGCAGAGAGGCCUUCUGUGGAAGACUAAAUGGCAGCUCUGUGGGUGAAGGCCUUCUCCAUCACUUCCCACAGCAGAUCCCGAUGAAAAGAGGCAGUCCAUAGUUUUAAGGCAUUUAUUGUCAUGGUGGAAAGUGGAUGUGUAAAAUCAUAUCCCCCUUCUCAGGGUAGACCUGAGGUUAAAAA